UACAGAGGGUGCAAGCGUUAAUCGGAAUUACUGGGCGUAAAGCGUGCGUAGACGGUCAUGUAAGUCGGGUGUGAAAGCCCCGGGCUCAACCUGGGAAUUGCAUUCGAGACUGCAUGGCUAGGAUGCGGAAGAGGGAAGCGGAAUUUCCGGUGUAGCGGUGAAAUGCGUAGAUAUCGGAAGGAACACCAGUCGGCGAAGGCGACUACCUGGCCCGGUUCUGACGCUGAUGCGCGAAAGCGUGGGUAGCAAACAGG
rnacentral:rRNA from 1 species